CCUAGGGAGGCAGCAGUGAGGAAUUUUGCGCAAUGGGAGCAAUCCUGACGCAGCAACGCCGCGUGGGUGAUGAAGGCCUUCGGGUCGUAAAGCCCUGUCAGGUGGGAAGAAUGUCCCGGGACUGAACAGGUUCCGGGAGUGACGGUACCACCAGAGGACGCACCGGCUAACUCCGUGCCAGCAGCCGCGGUAAUACGGAGGGUGCAAGCGUUAUUCGGAAUUACUGGGCGUAAAGCGCGUGUAGGCGGUCCUGAAAGUCUGAUGUGAAAGCCCCGGGCUUAACCCGGGAAGUGCAUUGGAAACUGUGGGACUUGAGUAUUGGAGAGGAUGGGGGAAUUCCCGGUGUAGAGGUGAAAUUCGUAGAGAUCGGGAGGAAUAUCAGUGGCGAAGGCGCCCAUCUGGACGGUAACUGACGCUGAGACGCGAAAGCGUGGGGAGCAAACA
rnacentral:rRNA from 1 species